rnacentral:rRNA from 1 species
ACCCGUUGAUCCUGCGGGAGAUUGCUGCUAUGAGAAUUCGAUUUAGCCAUGCAAGUCAGAUAGUAAUAUCGGCGACAGGCUCAGUAACACGUCGCUAACUUACCCUACAGUCAGGGAUAAUCUCGGGAAACUGAGUGUAAUACCUGAUAGGAAACAUCUUCUGGAAUGAUUUGUUUCUGAAACUCGUGCUGUAGGAUAGGGCGGCGGCUGAUUAGGUUGUUGGUGGGGUAAUGGCCCACCAAGCCGAAGAUCAGUACGGGGCAUGAGAGUGCUAGCCCGGAGAGGGACACUGAAAAACUGGUCCCAGCCCUACGGGGUGCAGCAGGCGCGAAACCUUUACAAUGCACGAAAGUGUGAUAGGGGGAUUCUCAGUGCUCAAGCUCUGCUUGGGCUUUUUUUCAAGAGUAAGUAUCUUGGAGAAUAAGUGGUGGGCAAGACCGGUGCCAGCCGCCGCGGUAAUACCGGCGCCACAAGUGGCAAUCACGAUUAUUGGGCCUAAAGCGUUCGUAGCCGGUUCAGUAAAUCCUUUGUGAAAUCGUACAGCUCAACUGUACGGCGUGCAGGGGACACUGCUGAACUAGAGACCGGGAGGAGUCAGAGGUAUGCUGGGGGGACCGGUAAAAUGGGAUAAUCCUCAGUAGACCACCGAUGGCGAAGGCAUCUGACCAGAACGGAUCUGACGGUGAGGGACGAAAGCCAGGGGAGCGAUCCGGAUUAGAUACCCGAGUAGUCCUGGCCGUAAACGCUGUGAGCAAGGUGUUGCAUAUCUUACAUGGAUUUGCAGUGUCGAAACGAAGGUGUUAAGCUCACCGCCUGGGGAGUACGGUCGCAAGGCUGAAACUUUAAGGAAUUGGCGGGGGAGCACUACAAGGGGUGCGGCGUGCGGUUUAAUCUAACUCAACGCAGAAAACCUCACUAGAAGCGACGGCAGGAUGAAGGUCAAGCUGAAGACUUUACCUGACGAGCCGAGAGGUAGUGCAUGGCCGUCGUCAGCUCGUGCUGUGAAGUGUCCAGUUAAGUCUGGUAACGAGCGAGACCUGCGCCUACAGUUUCUAACGACUCUUCGGAGGAUCGAGCACACUGUAGGGACUGCUCCGGUAACGGAGAGGAAGGUGCAGGCUACGGUAGGUCUGUAUGCUCCGAAUCUUCUAGGCUACACGCGCGCAACAAUGGCAGUGACAAUGGGCUGCAACUCCGAAAGGAGAAGCUAAUCCUCGAAACACUGUCCUAGUAUAGAUUGAGGCUUGCAACUCAGCCUCAUGACAACGGAAUCCCUAGUAAUUGGAGUUCAUCAUACUCCAGUGAAUAUGUCCCUGCUCCUUGCACACACCGCCCGUCAAGUCAACCGAGCAGGGUUUAGGUAAAACGUGAUUCCUUUGAUUACGUUGAAUCUAAUCUCAGUGAGGUGGGCUAAGUCGUCACAAGGUA